AUUGAACGCUGGCGGCAUGCCUUACACAUGCAAGUCGAACGGCAGCACGGGAGCAAUCCUGGUGGCGAGUAGCGAACGGGUGAGUAAUGUAUCGGAACGUGCCCAGUCGUGGGGGAUAACGUAGCGAAAGCUACGCUAAUACCGCAUACGCUCUAUGGAUGAAAGCGGGGGAUCGCAAUACCUCGCGCGAUUGGAGCGGCCGAUAUCAGAUUAGGUAGUUGGUGGGGUAAAGGCCCACCAAGCCUGCAAUCUGUAGCUGGUCUGAGAGGACGACCAGCCACACUGGAACUGAGACACGGUCCAGACUCCUACGGGAGGCAGCAGUGGGGAAUUUUGGACAAUGGGCGCAAGCCUGAUCCAGCAAUGCCGCAUGCAGGAUGAAGGCCUUCGGGUUGUAAACUGCUUUUGUACGGAACGAAACGGCUUUUUCUAAUACAGAGAGCUAAUGACGGUACCGUAAGAAUAAGCACCGGCUAACUACGUGCCAGCCGCCGCGGUAA
rnacentral:rRNA from 1 species